AUUGAACGCUGGCGGCAGGCCUAACACAUGCAAGUCGAACGAGUGGCGGAUGGGUGAGUAAUGUCUGGGAAACUUCCUGAUGGAGGGGGAUAACUACUGGAAACGGUAGCUAAUACCGCAUACCAUCAGAUGUGCCCCGAUGGGAUUAGCUUGUUGGUGGGGUAACGAGUAACCAAGGGGACGAUCCCUAGCUGGUCUGAGAGGAUGACCAGCAACACUGGAACUGAGACACGGUCCAGACUCCUACGGGAGGCAGCAGUGGGGAAUAUUGCACAAUGGGCGCAAGCCUGAUGCAGCCAUGCCGCGUGUAUGAAGAAGGCCUUCAGGUUGUAAAGUACUUUCAGCGGGGAGGCGUUAGCCGCAGAAGAAGCACCGGCUAACUCCGUGCCAGCAGCCGCGGUAAUUC
rnacentral:rRNA from 1 species